AUUGAACGCUGGCGGCAGGCCUAACACAUGCAAGUCGAACGGUAACAGGAAGAAGCUUGCUUCUUUGCUGACGAGUGGCGGACGGGUGAGUAAUGUCUGGGAAACUGCCUGAUGGAGGGGGAUAACUACUGGAAACGGUAGCUAAUACCGCAUAACGUCGCAAGGCCAAAGAGGGGGACCUUCGGGCCUCUUGCCCUCGGAUGUGCCCAGAUGGGAUUAGCUAGUAGGUGGGGUAACGGCUCACCUAGGCGACGAUCCCUAGCUGGUCUGAGAGGAUGACCAGCCACACUGGAACUGAGACACGGUCCAGACUCCUACGGGAGGCAGCAGUGGGGAAUAUUGGACAAUGGGCGCAAGCCUGAUGCAGCCAUGCCGCGUGUAUGAAGAAGGCCUUCGGGUUGUAAAGUACUUUCAGCGGGGAGGAAGGGAGUAAAGUUAAUACCUUGGCUCAUUGACGUUACCCGCAGAAGAAGCACCGGCUAACUCCGUG
rnacentral:rRNA from 1 species